CAGAUUUAGAGCGAGGUUUCAAGAGGAUGUUAGGGUUUCAAGCGUUCUUUCAAGAACUGGGGAUUUUGCCAAGAACGUUGUUCUUUCCAGCCCAUGUUAUUUGGAGAAAAAUAUCUGAAUAUGCAGUAUCCCAUCAAAAGGAAGUCGAUAAAAUUGUUAUAUACAAACAGUUCUUCAUCGAACUUUUACAAAACAAGACUCAAAGAAGAUAUAGGCAUAAAAGUAAUUGAUGGUCAUCUUUCUGAUGACAUAUUCUUAUAUGAGGUUGCGAAAGAUAUGCACGAUGAGUUCCAAGAGUUUGAUACUGGACGUUAACUGGGAUCCAUUCCACGCUGUUGAAGUUGAAGAGGGAGUAUCAAUUUAUUAGCUUUCAAGUCAAAAAAAUAAAAGGCUGGAAAGAUUAAGAGCAUACGGGGAAGAAGGGGAAGCAGCCAUUGAUGCUAUUAUCGCUACCAAAAGAGAAUUGGUGGAGUAUAAUUCAAGUGGUUGUUAUAAAAUUCCAAUAAUUUGGAACUUUUAAUGAUUUUAGAGUCGCAACGGCUAGCGAGUGUUGUGAUUUCACUAGACAAUGGUUGCGGGUACAGGCCAUCAAGGCUCGAAAAUAUGAUGAUAGGUUUAUCCGUGAAUACUAUACACUUAUUUGAAUUUAGAGAUAGGCUCGUCUCACUCAUUUGUGUGGAUAUAAAUCAUUUCAUUAAUGAUAGAAUAAAUAUUUUAAUGUUAAAUUGUUACUUAAUAUAGAAAUGUGUCAUUUUGGACUGACUAAAAAUAAA